UUUUUUUUUUAAAGUAGCUGCUGAACACAGGAGAAUCUGCCUUUUUCUUGAAUCGUGGUUUUGUUGUUUUUUUUUUUUCAAGACGGAGUGUUGCUGUUGUCGCCCGGGCUGGAGUGCUGUGGUGCGAUCUUGGCUAAUUGCAACCUCCGCCUCCCAGAUUCAAGCGAUUGUCCUGCCUCAGCCUCCCGAGUAGCUGAGAUUACAGGCACGCACCACCGUGCCCGGCUAAUUUUUGUGUUUUUAGUAGAAACAGGGUUUCACCAUGUUGGCCAGGCUGGUCUCAAACUCCUGACCUUGUGAUCCACCUGCCUCGGCCUCCCAAAGUGCUGGAUUUACAGGCGUGAACCACUGCACCCGGCCUGAAUCAUGGUUUUUUGAAACCAUUGGCCUCUGAACCUGUAGCUCUCUCUGGUAGUGUUGUGUGGUUUUAAAUGUCAUGUGAGCUGAGUUACUGACCUCAACCUACUGCCAGAUGAAGGUGUGAUCCUGUGAUACCAAUCUUGAGGGUCCCUUCUAGUUUUAGCAGUCAGUGACUUCUCUUGUUUAUUUUUGUUUGAAAAAGUAAAAGGCUCUCUUUUUGGCUAUAGAGUUGCAUCUUGAAAUUUUUGACAAAUUACAUAGAGCCGAAGAAGGAUACAAGUUUUGAUAUCUUAAAAUCACAGGGUUGAAGCUUGAAAGGACAGUAUUGGCAUUGCAGCUAAGUGGGAGUGUGAGGAAGCGCCUUCUCUAGGGCAGGUAAUUGCAUCUGUUAAUGUGGUCCUUGGGCCCCUGAGUUGCUGCCUUCCAAUCAGAAUUUCCUUAGCAUUAGCCAGUGACGCCUGAAUUAAUCUCAGGUAGGACUUCUAACUUUUUUCCAAAAUUAUUUUUGUGCAGAGGUUUAUCUAGAUUUUUCUUCUAAAUGUCCUCCUCCCCACUUGUUUUAUUAUUACUGUUUUUUUCUCUCUUUAAUUUUUUUUUUUUUUUUUUUUUUAGAGACAUGGUCUCACUAUGUUGCCUGGGCUGAUCUCAGACUCCUGGGCUCAAGUGAUCCUCCUGCCUCAGCCUCCCAAAGUGCUGGGAUUAUAGGCGUGAGCCAUUGCGCCUGGCUCUGUUACUGUUUUUCUAACCUGAGUUACUUAGGAUCAUAUUUUCAUUCUUUUUUAAAAAGAUGGGAGUUUUCUGAACUUUUCCUUAACUAAAAAGUGGAAUGCAUCUUAAUAUUUUCCUUUUUUUACUUGUGUUUCUCCCCAGGGAGGGAAAAACAUAUUUAUUGUGACAGAAUUUAGCAUAUUUUAGGCCACAUUAAAAUACUGAUAAAUGUAUUAAUCAGUGAAAAUAGGUUAUAGUGAAAAAUAUAUACCAUUUGAUUAAUAAAAAUGUUAUUGGAAAAAUGCAAGAACUGCUGUAAGAAUUGCUAACAUUGUGUUGGAAAAUGAAUAUACUAAGCUAAGAAACAAUGGGAAACUGUCAUAUGUAGGGCCAACAGCCUUUUUUUUUUUUUAAACCCUUCCAAUUUAUUAAUAUCUAGUCUAAUAAACCCUGAUUUAUAGGACCUCUGCACCUUUUUUGACUUUUUAUUCAUCCAUUCUUAAUAUUCUACACUAUGACAAAAUCCUUUGUCUCCAUUAUUGAUGAAAUGGGAACAGACUUUUGUUUUUGUAUGUUGGUGUUCUCUGAGUGGUGAAGGCCCAGGGAGAAUGUUUUGUUUGGUGGUCACUUAGCAUUUGAAAACAUCCACUUCCUUGUGACUUAGCUGGGUAUCUUUUAACAUCUGGAAGCCACGUCCCUGAUUGAAAUCUCUGGAGACAACUUACCUUUCACCAACUUGUCUGCCAAAUUGCACCAUGGACCAAGAUUGCAGUGGCUGCAUCAAGUCUAGGCCUGCCCUGAAGUCUGGAUUUGUAAGUCCCCCAUUUCAAAUAGGGCAGAAGGCAGAGGAGCAGAGGAGCCACUGUGCCUUUCGCUGUCCUGGAGCCAGUUGGCCUUCUGGUUUUGGUGAACCCUGCUUUUAUAAGAGGACUCCCUGGCAUCUUCCAGUUUCCCGCUACUUGUUUUAUGUAUUAUUUUAUGUCUGUGUUUGUCCUGGCGUGCUGUAACUCCUUUCACUGUCUGCUGUAAGUUCAACUUCUUCAAUAAAAGAAAUGUUUCAAAUUGGA
rnacentral:lncRNA from 1 species